GAUGAACGCUGACAGAAUGCUUAACACAUGCAAGUCGAUGGGGAAGUGGUGCUUGCACCAUGGUAACCAUGGCGGACGGGUGAGUAACGCGUAAGGAACUUGCCUGCGGGACUGGGAUAACAGCAGGAAACUGCUGAUAAUACCGGAUAAGGUCAUUAAGCUGCAUAGCUUAGUGAUGAAAGGAGACGCCUGCGGAGAGCCUUGCGUCCUAUUAGCUAGUUGGAGGGGUAACGGCCCACCAAGGCGAAGAUAGGUAGCCGGCCUGAGAGGGUGGACGGCCACAAGGGGACUGAGAUACGGCCCUUACUCCUACGGGAGGCAGCAGUGGGGAAUAUUGGACAAUGGGGGCAACCAUGAUCCAGCAAUUCUGUGUGCACGAAGACGGUUUUCGGAUUGUAAAGUGCUUUCAGCAGGGAAGAAGGAAGUGACGGUACCUGCAGAAGAAGCGACGGCUAAAUACGUG
rnacentral:rRNA from 1 species